AGAGCGAACGCUGGCGGCAGGCCUAACACAUGCAAGUCGAACGGACUCUUCGGAGUUAGUGGCGGACGGGUGAGUAACACGUGGGAACGUGCCUUUAGGUUCGGAAUAGCUCCUGGAAACGGGUGGUAAUACCGAAUGUGCCCUUCGGGGGAAAGAUUUAUCGCCUUUAGAGCGGCCCGCGUCUGAUUAGCUUGUUGGUGAGGUAAUGGCUCACCAAGGCUACGAUCAGUAGCUGGUCUGAGAGGAUGACCAGCCACAUUGGGACUGAGACACGGCCCAAACUCCUACGGGAGGCAGCAGUGGGGAAUCUUGCGCAAUGGGCAAAGCCUGACGCAGCCAUGCCGCGUGUAUGAUGAAGGUCUUAGGAUUGUAAAUACUUUCACGGCAAGAUAAUGACUGUAGCGAGAAGAAGCCCGCUAACUCGUAGCCAGCAGCCGC
rnacentral:rRNA from 1 species